GAUGAACGCUAGCUACAGGCUUAACACAUGCAAGUCGAGGGGAAACGAUAUUGGAAGCUUGCUUCCGAUAGGCGUCGACCGGCGCACGGGUGAGUAACGCGUAUCCAACCUGCCCACCACUUGGGGAUAACCUUGCGAAAGUAAGACUAAUACCCAAUGAUAUCUCUAGAAGACAUCUGAAAGAGAUUAAAGAUUUAUCGGUGAUGGAUGGGGAUGCGUCUGAUUAGCUUGUUGGCGGGGUAACGGCCCACCAAGGCGACGAUCAGUAGGGGUUCUGGGAGGAAGGUCCCCCACAUUGGAACUGAGGCACGGUCCAAGCUCCGACGGGAGGCAGCGGUGAGGAAUAUUGGUCAAUGGGCGAGAGCCUGAACCAGCCAGGUAGCGGGCAGGAUGACGGCCCUAUGGGUUGUAAACUGCUUUUAUAAGGGAAUAAAGUGAGAGUCGUGACUCUUUUUGCAUGUACCUUAUGAAUAAGGACCGGCUAAUUCCGUGCCAGCCGCCGCCGUAAGAC
rnacentral:rRNA from 1 species